GGUCUUUGCGGACUGCAUGCGCACACUUCUGAUCGGGCCUCAAAUCAGGUAGGACUACCCGCUGAACUUAAGCAUAUCAAUAAGCGGAGGAAAAGAAACUAACAAGGAUUCCCCUAGUAACGGCGAGUGAAGCGGGAUGAGCUCAAAUUUGAAAUCUGGCAGCCUCCGGUUGUCCGAGUUGUAAACUAGAGAAGCGUUUUCCGUGCCGGCCUGUGUACAAGUCCCUUGGAAUAGGGCGUCAUAGAGGGUGAGAAUCCCGUCCUUGACACAGACCACCGGUGCUAUGUGAUACGCUCUCGACGAGUCGAGUUGUUUGGGAAUGCAGCUCAAAUUGGGUGGUAAAUUCCAUCUAAGGCUAAAUAUUGGCGAGAGACCGAUAGCGAACAAGUACCGUGAGGGAAAGAUGAAAAGCACUUUGGAAAGAGAGUUAAACAGUACGUGAAAUUGUUGAAAGGGAAACGAUUGAAGUCAGUCAUGCGUGCUCGGACUCAGCUGGGUUCGUCCCAGUCUAUUUCCGGGUGCCGCAGGUCAGCAUCAGUUUCGGGCGGUGGAAAACGGGCGGGGGAAGGUGGCAUCUCCGGAUGUGUUAUAGCCCCCGUUUGGAUGCAUCGCGUGGGACUGAGGAACGCAGCGCGCCUCUUUACGGGGUCGGUCUCCGGACACGAACGCGCUUAGGAUGCUGGCAUAAUGGCUUUAAACGACCCGUCUUGAAACACGGACCAAGGAGUCUAUCAUGUGUGCGAGUAUUUGGGUGGCAAACCCGAGUGCGGAAUGAAAGUAAAUGCUGUGGGAUCCGCAAGGAGCACCAUCGACCGAUCUGGAUCUUUGUGAUGGAUUUGAGUAAG
rnacentral:rRNA from 1 species